UACAUCCACUACUGCCCCUGAUACAUCGUCUCUCCCAUCCACAACCACUUCAGCAGCCCCGGCCUGCGACUACGCAGCCUUCACGGCCGACCAUUCCAUGCUGAAAUCCCCUGCGUGUACCAACACCAAGCCCCCACUGACCGAAGCGGAGAAGACAGAAAUCCUGAGCGUUCAUAACACUCUCAGGGCGAAGGUGGCCAGAGGCGACGAGACCGCGGGCGAUCCGGGACCUCAGCCCAAAGGCGCCAACAUCCGGGAGCUGAAAUGGAACGAUGAGUUGGCAGACGUGGCACAGGCCUGGAUGGGUCAGUGCACCUUCGCCA